rnacentral:tRNA from 4 species
GCGAAAGUGGCGGAAUAGGAAGACGCGCUGGACUUAGGAUCCAGUAGGGUUAACCUGUAGGGGUUCAAGUCCCCUCUUUCGCACCA